UACGUAGGGUGCAAGCGUUGUCCGGAAUUAUUGGGCGUAAAGAGCUCGUAGGCGGUUCGUCGCGUCGGGAGUGAAAAUCCAGGGCUUAACUCUGGACUGGCUUCCGAUACGGGCAGACUAGAGGUAUGCAGGGGAGAACGGAAUUCCUGGUGUAGCGGCGAAAUGCGCAGAUAUCAGGAGGAACACCGGUGGCGAAGGCGGUUCUCUGGGCAUUACCUGACGCUGAGGAGCGAAAGUGUGGGGAGCGAACAGG
rnacentral:rRNA from 1 species